GGAAAUAUGUCUGCAGGUUUUGCAUCUGAUGUUCUGCCAGGGUCUGGUGCUGCUUUGUGUUGGUGCGUCCUGGUCUGUGGGGAGCUUGCUUCUGAUGAUGAGCUUGGAGAAGUUGGGGGAUUGUUGGAAGGCCAGAGGAGAGGGUUCAGGAAAGAUUUCUUUCAGGAUAGGGACAAGGAAAACAAACCAUAGGAAUACAUAGUUAACAAUGGUGGCUGAUUUGAACCCUUUGAUAUAAGUCCAUUAGGCCAAAUGGAGUUUUUUGUAUUGUUACAUAUAAUUAACUUCAUAAAGCUUUCCCCCCCCCAGUAGAAUCCUCUAAGCACAAGGACAGCUGUGGGCUACACACUGUUCAUAUGCUCAAAGAUGGCUCAUGCAGCAAUCUUUCACAGACAGACUUUGCACUGGGUUCACAACUUGAAGCACUUUUCACUGUAUCCAGUAAUUUGCACAAGUCCUUUGGCAAAUCUUUGAAAAUCUCCGGUGCCCAGAGCAACUUAGCAACGUUACAGGUGGAUUCAGAACCCGGGAUAGCACACUCGGAAUGUAGCCUGCUAAGGAGCCGCAGGUCGGACGAGUUGAACAUGAAUAAUGUUUUUCUUUUUAACUGCAGGAAAAGAACGUCCUUAGGAAAGCAAUUGUGCUCCAUCAGCUAACCUGUCUCCUAUGCCUAGAGGUCUUAAAUCAUCAUUCACCUGCCAGCCAGGCAUCACACCGUCAGGUGCUUUGUGAAGAAAACAGUCGAUACGGAGUCCAAGACACAGGUCUGCUGCUGGGAGCUGCCAGAGCCCAUUGCGUUCAGUGCCAGCCUAUACAGGUAUUUACAUCUCUGCUCUGAUUUCUGCAGGUUUCUACAAUUCUCCCUCUGUUUCACUCUGGCCCCUUUUCCCAUUUUGAAGAAAUGCCAUAGGAUAUCUCAGUGAGCAGGAGACCAAGACUCAGAAUGAAGAGAGCCGCUUUCCAUGCAGAUUGUUCCCUAUGCCUGAGACAAUGAGAUUUCUCUGUUGUGUUUCCUGAGUAUGCAGCAGUGGCCAGUUUCAACAAUUUAGAAAUCAAAUGUUAGCAUUAGAGAGUCUGAUACUCAGCAAAUCCAGAGCAGCAGAGCAGAAAAGGUAGCUUAAAAACGUGUCUAUAAGAGUUCACAACUGGUGGUGAUGGAUUCAGACACUGUGCUGAGAACCCAAAGGUCAGAGGGUGAGAGCCAAUCAAGGGCUUUUGAAGGUAAUUCCUGUGCACCGAGUGUCAGACUGGAAAUACCAUUGAUCAAUAAGUAUUCAUUCAGAUGGGUCAAGUCACCGGUCUAAACCACCUUGUUCUUUUUGUGCCAAGGACUCUUUCACCUAGAUCACUCUGUCUAUAACAUAUAGCUCAUCUCAGUUGAUUGGCCUCUUACAGUUGGUAUGGCUACUUCCACCCUUUCAUGUUCUCUGUAUCUAUAAAUAUCUUCUUUCUGUGUGUUCCAGUCUAUGCAGCCGA